ensembl:snoRNA
CUGUGAAAUUAUGGCAAUUUUCUUUCAGGACUUACCUGAAAUGAGAAUACUCAUUGUUGAUCACUU